UCUGUGCAAAGGAUGCACUGCAGUGGACACAGGAAAAGGGCCGCUCUCCUGUGUGGAUACGAAUGUGUCUCACGAGACGGUCUUUCUGCACAAAGGAUGCACUGCAUGGACACAGGAAAAGGGCCGCUCUCCUGUGUGGGAUACGUAUGUGUCUCACGAGACUGUCUUUCUGCGAAAAGGACGCACUGCAAUGGGCACACGAAAAGGGCCGCUCUCCUGUGUGCAUGCGGAUGUGUCUCACGAGGCUGUUUUUGUGCGCAAAGGAUGCAUUGCAGUGGACACAGGAGAAAGGGCGCUCUCCUGUGUGGAUACUACGGAUGUGUCUCUUGAGGUCGUUUUUCUGCACAAAGGAUGCACUGCAGCGAACACAGGAAAAUGGACGCUCUCCAGUGUGCGUGUACAUGUGUCUCACGAGGCUGUUUUUCUGCACAAAGGACGCAUUGCAGUGGACACAGG
rnacentral:lncRNA from 1 species